GGAUAGCUCAGUCAGUAAAGCAUGAGAUUCUAAAUCUCAGGGUUUUAAGUUCAAGCCCCAUGUUGGACA